rnacentral:rRNA from 1 species
GAUGAACGCUGGCGGCGUGCCUAAUACAUGCAAGUCGAGCGAACAGACGAGGAGCUUGCUCCUCUGAUGUUAGCGGCGGACGGGUGAGUAACACGUGGAUAACCUACCUAUAAGACUGGGAUAACUUCGGGAAACCGGAGCUAAUACCGGAUAACAUGUUGAACCGCAUGGUUCAACAGUGAAAGACGGUCUUGCUGUCACUUAUAGAUGGAUCCGCGCCGCAUUAGCUAGUUGGUAAGGUAACGGCUUACCAAGGCAACGAUGCGUAGCCGACCUGAGAGGGUGAUCGGCGACACUGGAACUGAGACACGGUCCAGACUCCUACGAGAGACAGCAGUAGGGAAUCUUCCGCAAUGGGCGAAAGCCUGACGGAGCAACGCCGCGUGAGUGAAGAAGGUCUUCGGAUCGUAAAACUCUGUUAUUAGGGAAGAACAAAUGUGUAAGUAACUAUGCACGUCUUGACGGUACCUAAUCAGAAAGCCACGGCUAACUACGUG